AUGGCUCCUACUGAGGCUGAGGCUGAUGUAGAGGAGGGAGAAGAGAAGAAGAAGAGGGAAAGGAAAGCAGCCGGAGCUGCUUUCACGUGGAUUCAAACUCACUUUGCGACGUGCCCUCUGGAUGCCACUGAUGAUGUGAUCCAGACACAUGCUCGUGUCUACAUGUGGUAUGUUGUGUCGAGGACUUUGUUUCCUGACUCCACUGGCAAGAACGCUCCAUGGAUGUGGCUGAAGGCGUUGACCGUCUUCGAUAGCAAAUGGAGCUGGGGUUCAGCGACUCUUGCCUACUUGUACCGACAGGUAGUUGGUCUGUUUUGUGAUCAACUCAUUUCUUCAUUAGCAAUGCAAGCUUCCUGUCAAGUUAACAUUGUUUUUCUUUCAUAUACAGCUGGACGAUGCGUGUUGCAGGAUCACAGAUAG
rnacentral:rRNA from 1 species